rnacentral:lncRNA from 1 species
UUUAUUAUUAUUUCUGAGAGACAGAUUACAGCAGCAAUAAUUCUUUUCAUAAAAUUUGAGUGAAAGUAUGUACCAGCAACACAAUUCUGAAAAGAAGGAAAAAAUCAAGAAAUAAAAAUAUAAGAGUAACUGAAAAAAACAAGCAUUCUAAAAAAAAUUAUGGUCAACUGCAUGAUUUAACCUCAUGCAGACUACAUUUAAUCUAAUACGGCUACUAAAUGGAAUUAAAUGUUAUUUUCUCUACAGAACAAGAAUGAGAAAGAAAUGGCAUUAUGAUCAAGGGAUGCAAUUUCACAAAAUGAUGCCUAUACCUUUUUUUUGAAGAUUCUCAGGCACCAGGGAGCUGAAACCAUUGAAGACUGGUUUGAAGACAAGUAAACCUGAAGUACAGGCAAGGCACAUGUGGGAAGACUUAUUUCACUAGUUCGUUUGGGGAUAUACUCUGGAACUGCAAAAUGUGCAAUAGACCAAAACUGAAGAGAAGAGAGGGCACCAGUUAUAACCCGAGCAAACAUUGGGAACAUCGAAGAAAAAAGGAAUUAAGAGAAGUUUGCAAAAGAAGACAAGCAAUUACUUCUGUCAGCUCAAAGAACAGACAAGAAUGGCUAAAAUGAGUUAAUCCUCAUUCUGUCUCUGUAUGAGGCCAGUAGUGGUUAUUUGGAGAGAGUGUAAGAGGCAUGGAAAAUUACCAAGAUUUGGCUGCGAUUACAGAGAAUCCUUUCUUAUGGCUUAAGAAAACCCUAAGACAAAGUUUACAGCUGGG